GGCGGGUUGCCCGAGUGGUCAAAGGGAGCGGUCUGUAAAACCGCCGGCUCAGCCUACGUUGGUUCAAACCCAACACCCGCCA
rnacentral:tRNA from 5 species